rnacentral:rRNA from 1 species
GCAGUAGCCACGGUAAUACAGAGGGUGCGAGCGUUAAUCGGAUUUACUGGGCGUAAAGCGUGCGUAGGCGGCUUCUUAAGUCGGAUGUGAAAUCCCUGAGCUUAACUUAGGAAUUGCAUUCGAUACUGGGAAGCUAGAGUAUGGGAGAGGAUGGUAGAAUUCCAGGUGUAGCGGUGAAAUGCGUAGAGAUCUGGAGGAAUACCGAUGGCGAAGGCAGCCAUCUGGCCUAAUACUGACGCUGAGGUACGAAAGCAUGUGGAGCAAACAGGAUUAGAUACCCCCGUAGUCCCUGUCUCUUAUAC